AUGAGGUCUGGGAAGGCAGCGGCUAGCGGGGAUCACGGCCCCGGCGAAGGAGCCCCGACGAGGGAGGGAGGCUGGUGGCGGGGAUCACGGGCCCGGCGAAGGAGCCCCGGCGAGGGAGGGAGGCAGGAGGCGAGGAGCACGACCCCGGCGAAGGAGCCCCGGCGAGGGAGGGAGGCUGGAUGCCGGGAUCACGGGCCCGGCGAAGGAGCCCCGGCGAAGGAGGGAGGCAGGAGGCGGGGAUCACGGCCCCAUCAUUGCUUUGCCACCGAGGAAGGGGAUGGCGGCGGUGGAUCCGUCCCCGGCCAGUCACGGCGCCGCGGGCUCCCUCGCUCCAGCUGCCGCCGUCGCUCGCUCGCCCACGACGGCUGCCUCCGGCAGAAGAAGUCCAAGAAGGAUUGGCCAGUGCUGCCGGCUGGCGUCAAGUUCAAUCGCACGGAUCAGGAGCUGAUCGAGCACCUUGAGGCCAAAGUGAAUGCUGAAAGCGCGAGAUCUCACCCUCUCAUCGAUUUGUUCAUACCAAUCAUCGACAGCGAGCACCGCAAUUCCAGGGCGUUCAAAAGGGGCAUGUGGACGCGUCGCAAGAUACAGUCGGAGUGCCGCAUGCACGCGAUGUGGCACAAGACCGGCAAUACCUUGCCGGUGAUGGUCAACGGCCGGCAGACGGGAAGCAAAAAAUUUCUGGUGCUGCAUAACAACAAGAAGUUUGACCAGCAGAGCACCAACUCGGUGAUGCACCAGUACCACCUCGGGGACCUGGCGCAAGAGAAGGAGCGGGAGCUGGUCCUCUGCAAGAUUUUCUACCAGACGAACACUAGGGCUAGGACUAAAAAGAUUAUAAGUUAG
rnacentral:rRNA from 1 species